rnacentral:lncRNA from 10 species
CUGCCUCCUGGGUUCACGCCAUUCUCUUGCCUCAGCCUCCGAAGUAGCUGGGACUACAGGCGCCUGCCACCACACCCGGCUAAUUUUUUGUAUUUUUUAGUAGAGACGGGGUUUCACCAUGUUAGCCAGGAUGGUCUCCAUUUCCUGACCUCGUGAUCCACCCACCUUGGCCUCCCAAAGUGCUGAGAUUACAGACAUGAGCCACCACGCCCGGCCUGGAGCCCAUAUUAUUAAAGAUAACUCACACAGAAGCCAAAUAAACACAGUUAGAAAUAAGUGAGGCCUGAUGAAGAGAUUCAAAGGAAGACAAGAGUCCAGCGAAUUCAUGUGUCCUGCCAGAAUGAAGAGAGGAUGACUCCCAUUCUAAUGGGCUCCAGAGAAGAGGGUGAAGGUACAGAGCAACUCUUUAAUUUCAUCAAAUAAAUGGCUUUGCAAAUAUCAACGUGUCUUACUUUACAACAGGGCU